rnacentral:ncRNA from 1 species
AAAGAACGUCGCCAGAGAACGCGAGGGUGUUUUCACCAGCAUGUUUAUCAUGUGGUAGUCGCACUGGGGGUUCUUUCUUUU